rnacentral:rRNA from 1 species
GCCAGCAGCCACAUCACCCUGCAACUCACAACUGGCAACCCACUGAAGCUCAGCAGGUGUGAGCCUGGUCAGUACCUGGAUGGGGGACCUCCUGGGAGAAACUAAGGUUGCUGCUGGAA